UAUCCUCACUCUCUUUGAAUAUCAACUGUCCAACAGAAUCAGGAACAGUAAUUGAGAGUGAGAGAGGAGAAAUUAUGCUGUCAACAGCUAACAAUCCGUCGCUCUCUUCCCGCGUUUGCUUCUUCAGAUUCGGAGAGCUGAAUCUCAGCUCACGAUUGAAUCUCCGUCGCCGACGAGCUGCCCAUCGGUGCUGCAAAGCGUCUCUCAUUACGAAUUCCGAUUCAUUCGAGGUCGGGAGGCUGAUUGGCAGUUACGGAUUUAUGAACAUUACUAGUUACUCGGGACCACAAUCGGCGACGGAUAUGGAGUAUAUGGCUGGAGGUAUUGGGAGAUUGAGAGCUCAGGAUGUUGGGGAAGGAAGUGCGAAAAUUCGGUGCGCCUGUGCAGUUGCUCACAUAUAUGCGUGUGUGUUGUCUCUUGUGUGAGUUUACUGUGGGAUUGAGAUGAGAUAUUUAGUGUGGAAUUGAAGGAAGCUAAGUGAAUUAAAGGAGUUCAAGGAGUAAUAUUUUAGUUGGUUCACCAUUAAUCAUACAUUAUGGAGUAUCACACAUAUUGUGUCUGUGUUCGUAAUGUGGACGGGAAUGGAAUAUUUAGCUUGAAAUUUAAGAAAUAUUAGUGAAUUAAUGGAGUUUAAAGUAGUAAUUGUUGACUUGGUUCGGCCUUAGUCAUAGGCUAUAUUUACAUUGUUGAUUGUACUUAUACAUAUGUGUUUGUGUGAGUAUGUGUGUGCUUAAUGUGAAAUUUACGAAUAGGAGGUAUUUUAGGUAGUGUGGCUUGACUUGGUUUGCCGUAUCGGGUUGUAUGAAGGAAGAAUAGCUCAAGGUCCACAGAGAGGUAGCUCCGUUAUUUUUAAGGUCUACCCUGGUCAGCAAGUUGGAGGCUUCGAAGCUGAUUUGAUGGCUGCGAAUGAGCUCAGUGCACAUGCUUCCCUUCAAGUACUUAUUGGAGGAUUUGAGACGAAAUGUUCAUUGUUGUGAGCAGUGGCUUGCUUUUCGGAAUGAUGGAAAGUACACUGCUGCUGGCUAUGCACAAGUUGCGAGUGAAAAGAUGACAAAAUAUAGUGAUGUUGGAGGGCAGACAUUUUGGAAUCCGUUCGAGAAAAGUGAAACUAUAAAGAGGAGAAGAUACUUCAUUACAAAGCUCCUUCAGGGAGCAAUUCGUGGCUUAGCUUACAUGCAUGACCACGAGAGGUUGCAUCAAAGUCUUGGACCUGCUUCUGUUGCUCUUAAUACAAUUGCAGAGAAAGAUGCUGUUUAUCUGGUUCCAAUGCUUAGGGACCUUGCCUUUUCGGUUGAUAUAAGAUACUGUUUGACUGAUGAUCGUCUUGUGGAAGCUGUUAAAUUUCUAGAUCUUGGGGAUGGUGCAGGAUGGGAGUUACUUCAGGUUGUUACUUCCUUGUACAGCAUCUAUUUCUGAUUCUUUUUUUGGGUGCUCGAUUUCCUCAAACAACAAAAGCUUUGUUAUAUGUCAUGUUGAUCAUCAACCUUCGCCCUUUUUAACUGUCUGGAGCUGUUUUAGCUACGUUUAUUGCUAUGUUGAACCGUGAUUAUCGACAGAGGCCUAUUGCAGAAGCUGUUUUGAACCAUAGAUUUCUGGCUGGAGCUUUCCUCUAACUUGUACCCUAGGUUGUUGCAGAAUGUAGCUAAAAUUGCCUCUCUUCGCCACUAGAGCUCGAUCCGCUCGUGUCAUUUUUGGGUCGAGCACACCGCACAUAAUUUUCUCAUCUCGUGAUUGGGCCGAGCACAUCGCACAUACUUUUUCGUCUCGUGGUUGGGUUUGUCAUACAUAUUUUCAUUUUUUUAAGAAGAUCGCUAAUGGAUCACCUUCACCAUUUACCCCUCGUUCCUCAUCAAGAAUGUCGCACAUGAUUUGGAUAAUAUGAUGUAGUACUAUAUUUGAUGAGGCUUCUCCUUAUUGUGAAGUGCAUUGUAUUACAAAAAUAAAUAUCUCGAAUUUUCACAACAUAUCAGGAAUUAAUAAAU